GGAUGCGAUCAUACCAGCACUAAAGCACCGGAUCCCAUCAGAACUCCGAAGUUAAGCGUGCUUGGGCGAGAGUGUAGUACUAGAUGGGUGACCUCCUGCAAAGUCCUCGUGUUGCAUUCC
rnacentral:rRNA from 1 species